rnacentral:rRNA from 1 species
ACGGUAGCUAAUACCGCAUAACGUCGCAAGACCAAAGAGGGGGACCUUCGGGCCUCUUGCCAUCGGAUGUGCCCAGAUGGGAUUAGCUUGUUGGUGGGGUAACGGCUCACCUAGGCGACGAUCCCUAGCUGGUCUGAGAGGAUGACCAGCCACACUGGAACUGAGACACGGUCCAGACUCCUACGGGAGGCAGCAGUGGGGAA